rnacentral:rRNA from 1 species
AGUGAACGCUGGCGGUAGGCCUAACACAUGCAAGUCGAACGGCAGCACAGUAAGAGCUUGCUCUUACGGGUGGCGAGUGGCGGACGGGUGAGGAAUACAUCGGAAUCUACUUUUUCGUGGGGGAUAACGUAGGGAAACUUACGCUAAUACCGCAUACGACCUACGGGUGAAAGCAGGGGAUCUUCGGACCUUGCGCGAUUGAAUGAGCCGAUGUCGGAUUAGCUAGUUGGCGGGGUAAAGGCCCACCAAGGCGACGAUCCGUAGCUGGUCUGAGAGGAUAAUCAGCCACACUGGAACUGAGACACGGUCCAGACUCCUACGGGAGGCAGCAGUGGGGAAUAUUGGACAAGGGGCGCAAGCCUGAUCCAGCCAUACCGCGUGGGUGAAGAAGGCCUUCGGGUUGUAAAGCCCUUUUGUUGGGAAAGAAAAGCAGCAGGUUAAUACCCCGCUGUUCUGACGGUACCCAAAGAAUAAGCACCGGCUAACUUCG